CGCCAUCAUUAGUGCUUGUCUCAAUGGAGCCACUGGCGGGGUGUUGCUGCUGCCGGAACCACCGCGGGGUGUUGCUAGGAAUCGCUGCUGCCCUGCUUCCACUAAACUUAGGUUUAACAUCCAUUGGCCUGGAGCCGCUUCUGCUUUCGAUUCUAUUGAAUUUGAAAUCUUCAUUUUGUUGCAACCAUGAUCACUGUUGUGGGAGCUAACGCCCCUGCUAUCUUGAUUGAAACUGUUGCAUAGCUAGUAUUGGUCCAGCCAGCUGCCUCGCUAUAAUCCCGCCUCCGGGUUCUUUUAAGCGCGACAUCGAGCGACAGGUUUGAAGACGCAAUUUGAAGCUGCGAGCGAUCAGUAGGCUUUCUUUAUGGUUUUAAUUGCUUCCAUAGAGUCCCCUCGCUAUUGUCCUUUGAGAAUUCAUUUUACAUAGAGGGGUAGGUUUAGUAUAUUGUAUUUGAGUUUUAUUUGGUCUCUUUUGUAUAAGAAUUAUUAUCAAUAAUAUCUAUGUGAUUAUUAUUA